UUGUAUGUGAUGAUACAUUUAAUCUGAUCAAAAAAUCUAUGCUGAUCACACAUUCAAAUUAAACCAAAAGGAUUCUGAAAUUUA